GCCGCAAGGUUAAAACUCAAAGGAAUUGACGGGGGGCCCGCACAAGCGGUGGAGCAUGUGGUUUAAUUCGACGCAACGCGAAGAACCUUACGUGGGUUUGACAUCUGGGGAAUCCCUCCCAAAAGAGGGAGUGUCCUUCGGAAACCCCAAGACAGGUGCUGCAUGGCUGUCGUCAGCUCGUGUCGUGAGAUGUUGGGUUAAGUCCCGCAACGAGCGCAACCCUCGCCUUUAGUUGCUACCAGUUCGGCUGGGCACUCUAAAGGGACUGCCCGGGUUAACCGGGAGGAAGGUGGGGAUGACGUCAAGUCCUCAUGGCCUUUAUAUCCAGGGCUACACACGUGCUACAAUGGCCGGUACAAUGGGUUGCCAACCCGCAAGGGGGAGCUAAUCCCAUCAAAACCGGUCCAAGUUCGGAUUGGAGUCUGCAACUCGACUCCAUGAAGCUGGAAUCGCUAGUAAUCCCGGAUCAGAACGCCGGGGUGAAUACGUUCCCGGGCCUUGUACACACCGCCCGUCACACCACGAAAGUUGUUUAUACCAGAAGUCGGUGAGCUAACCUUCGGGAGGCAUCCGCCCAAGGUAUGAGCGAUGAUUGGGGUG
rnacentral:rRNA from 1 species